CUUCCUCCAUUUCUGCUGAAGAAUCCUACAAUAUCAGGUCAGGAAUAGGGUUGGGGAUUGAAGAUGGAUUCAGAUUCUGGAAUCAGACACUUGGAUUAAUGUUCAGACUCUUGUUCUAAAAUCAACAUCUGGAUUCCUCUUCUCUGUGCACACAUGUGUAUUUUUCACUUGCUAAUCUGUCAGGAACUUGGGCGCUGGCGAGCAGCUUUAAUAAUCUGAACAUAGUUUAGAGAUGGACUGCAACAUGUGCUCAAAGGCUGCAUGUGCUGAAGAACGAUGGCAAAGCUAAGUGUGAUCACUGUAAUAAAUGAAUGUUGCAGCAGGGUGUCUCCAUCAACAUGAGCAGUAUCUGCGCUCGCUUCACCAACAGCAGAGGAAAAGAACGCACUGUGUUACAUUCAUUGUGCAUCCCGGCUCAACCAACAAGUGUUGUGUGUUUUAGCUCAAGAGUUUGGAGCGUGUAGCUGAGCAGCUCAGUGCUAGCUUUAGCUUAUUAGCUGAGGGGGAAACUAAACAGCUCAUUCUCUCCAUCUGUGUGUGUUUACAGUCUGGAUCAUGGAGGACACACGAGGAUUACAGCAGGACUGCACAAAUAUGUCUGUUUCCUCACUCUGGAUCCAAACACAGCACACACUCAACUCAUUCUGUCUGAGGAGAACAGAGAGGUGAAGUGUGUGAGAGAGAAUCAGCCGUAUCCUGAUCAUCCAGACAGAUUUGAUGUUCAUCAGCAGGUGUUGUGCAGAGAGAGUGUGUGUGGACGCUGUUACUGGGAGAUUGACUGGAGUGGAGAUGAUGAUGUGUGUAUAUCAGUGUCAUAUAAGAGCAUCAGGAGGAAGGGAGGAGGUGCUAAGUGUUUGUUUGGAUAUAAUGCUCAGUCCUGGAGUUUGAGCUGCUCUUCCUCCAGAUUCAUAUUCAGACACAAUAACACAGACACUGCUCUCCCAGUAAAGCCCCUCAGCAGGAGAAUAGGAGUGUUUGUGGAUCACAGUGCAGGAACUCUGAUCUUCUACAACAUCUAUAGAGACACAAUGAGCCUCAUCCACUCAGUCCAGACCACAUUCACUGAGCCGCUCUGCCCUGGGUUUACUGUUUAUCCUGGAUCAUCAGUGAAACUGAGCUGAAGACUGACGAAUGAUUUACCCAGAAUCCUCUGCAGGAACAGUCAGCAGCAGUGUGCGUGUGUGAGAGAGAGUCUGUAUUUGUGUGUGUGUGUGUGUGUGUGUGUAUGU
ensembl:processed_transcript